AUUGAACGCUGGCGGCAGGCCUAACACAUGCAAGUCGAACGGUAACAGGAAGAAGCUUGCUUCUUUGCUGACGAGUGGCGGACGGGUGGGGAAUGUCUGGGAAACUGCCUGAGGGAGGGGGAUAACUACUGGAAACGGUAGCGAAUACCGCAUAACGUCGCAAGACCAAAGAGGGGGACCUUCGGGCGUCUUGCCAUCGCUUGUGCCCGGCUGGGAUGAGCGAGUAGGUGGGGUAACGCCUCACCUAGGCGGCGAUCCCUAGCUGGUCUGAGAGGAUGACCAGCCACACUGGAACUGAGACACGGUCCAGACUCCUACGGGAGGCAGCAGUGGGGAAUAUUGCACAAUGGGCGCAAGCCUGAUGCAGCCAUGCCGCGUGUAUGAAGAAGGCCUUCGGGUUGUAAAGUACUUUCAGCGGGGAGGAAGGGAGUAAAGUUAAUACCUUUGCUCAUUGACGUUACCCGCAGAAGAAGCACCGGCUAACUACGUG
rnacentral:rRNA from 1 species